CCCGGUGGAACGACUAACAACGAGAUCGUCCAACGGACUCUCUGUCUCUCCCGCGCUACGAUCGAGACUCACUUUGCGGAAAUUGAAGUCUGUGACGGCGUACUUCUUGAAUCUUGGCAGAUUGGUCGCUGGCGGCGUGAUGCGCCCGCUGGGGAAGUGGUCCGAGGAGUCAGAGUUCCUCUGUGUGUCCGACGAUUGCGAGGGUGCUGCGAAUUUAUCAGCAGAACAAUGUUAAUUAAUAUACCCUUGCUACGAACAUUUCCAGGGGAGACACGCUCUAUUAGUAGACAGUGAGGUCUCGUCGGGAUAACAUGCGUGGCAGUAGACUGUAGUAGACUUCUAUAGAAAUGUCCGUUUACAUUGUAAAAUUAACGCGUCCGCGCGCAGGCGGCAGCGUUGAAAUCGCGGGGUAGAUAGUAUGUAUUUCAACGCAUUGUAAAGUUAACGCGUCUGUCACUUAACGUUCCGUUGUAACUUCUGUGACGGCGAACGGGUAAAUUAGAAGGCGACAACGUUGGGUUAACCGGUUGCAAACUCAAUUAACGAAGCUUGUUAACUGUGGUUUAACGCGCGUGAUCCAUGGAGCAGCGAGCGCGUGAUAUUUGGCUGGCUGACAUUUUUCGAAAAUAGCGGUGACCGUGGCGGUGAUACUCGGGUUGACGCGUGUGAUCGAUUAGGGGACAAGAACAGGGCUCGAGCGGUGGCACGGCGUCGUUUACCGAAUUUAACGGUUAUGUAAUUGAAUUUCCGCGGCGGUAAUCGCGAUCGCGGCGCGAUAACGGCCGCGAAAAUUAUUUAUUGGCUGGCGAACGGAUUUAUGACAUCCACGUGGAAGAGGAAGAUCGGCGUAGUCGUGGAUGAAUGCACCCGCGUCGCCAGCCAAGUGUCUGAUAAUGUAGCCAACGUACAUGAAACUGACUGGCUGCAUUUCCCAGAAAUUACUUUUAGACAAUCGACGCAAUGCACCGGCAGAGCUAUUAUUUCUUUUUCUUUUCAAAACAAGCAGAAUCUCUGUUUAUUAAAGUCUGUGAAUCGACCGUUUGACAAAGUAAUGGAAGCACCGUUCGCAAGUAGUUACGUUUGUCUCUAUUUAGAAUAUAGCUCUAUCGGAUACGAUCACAGCGAAUAAUAUAUCAAAAAUAUAUUAAUAAGAUUCUUUGAUCUAUUUUAAUAGAUCAAAGAGUUGUGUUGAUAUUUCCAAUAUUUUGGAAUAGGUAUUUCGAAGGCGGAGAUCCGAGAAGCGGUCUUUGAAAUUCCACGAAGACAGUUCUGCGUCAUUCGGACAGAGCUUUCAACUAGACGGCCGCUUUUAAAUAGAAUUUCCGAACUUGAACCAACUCGGUGCAUCGGUGCAUUGCUCACUCACCCCUCUUCACCGCCUGCAAAGCCUCCGCCACGAGCUUUUGGUUUAACCCGCAAAGGUUCCCGGUGAGCUUUUCGCAUUUCUUGUGGCACGCCAUGUCGCAAUCUGUGUCAACGUAUCGUUAAUAGACCCGAUUGUCAUAUCUGGUUCGUUCAUUUUUCAUUCGGUUACCUUUCACGAGUCUCGAAUAACACGCGCCACGGAUAUCUGUCGUCUCACGAUGCUUCUUGGGCACUGACGCCGAAACGCGGAAUCAUUUGGAGAGACUACAGUUUCGUUUCUAGCGAUACAAUGUACAUACUGUUAACCGAAAUGGAAUCCUCUGACGUAGUCCGUGCAAAUCCGCGCUAUUUUCCUGCUUCCAAAUCUAUGCGACGUUUAUCCACAACUAUCGCAGAGAAUAAGAAUGUAAUAUCGAGAACAACGAAAGAGUUUUAGCAUUAGAAAUGUCAAGCUACGAAACCGAUAAUUAACGUUUACCUGUAGCGAUUACGAAAACGAAUGCAUGUACGGACCAGAUUCGCAUAGAAGCACUAUCACGAUAGUGUAUUCCGACGGCUUCGAUAGUUUUCUAGUAGUGCAACCGGAUGACUUUUCUUCUCCCGUGCAAAACACUUUGCGGAUCCACUAAAAGCGGUGUCUAAUUAUUGUGCACGAUCCGCUAAAUUUAACGCGAAAGUCUCGUUCGCACCAUCUCCCGGCUGCACCACGAAGCCUUGAAUAUUGUUAUGCAAACUGCGCCGCGUUUUAUAAAUAGUGUCGCGUUGUUCAACCAUGCGGACCAGUCCCGGAUCAACACCGAACGGUUCACCAUUCCUGGUACAGCAAUUGUACUUGGACCGCGGCUCGGAGACCACCGAGCUCGGUCCCAAGGACACCUGUCUUAGGGUAUCGAAGCCAAGAGGCGACCAGGAAGGAUUCGUUGAAUUCCCGAACGCGCGCGACUGCACUUCCGGUUGUAAAUAAAUUGGCGUACGGAGUCGUUGACACUGAGGCAACGACCUUAUGUAAUAUCGAUUCGCCGGACGAAUACUAGGUGCUCCGAAAGCAGCUUAAGCGGGACAGCUGGGUUCGCCAAUUUCAGGAAACCGGUUCCUUUUAAAGUUAAUUGAUAACCGAACACGUAGAGAUUAUGUCUGUAAAGUUUCGGACAGAAAUUGUAAAUAGUUGAAUAGUCACAGCCGAGAAGCCGUAAUUCGGAACUUCCAGAUUUGCGCCUAUGCUGACAAAUUUCUGUUCUGUAUUUGUCGAUGAAAAAAUUUCUGCAUGUUCCACGAACAGGGGACCAUUUGUCUUGGAAAUUUCAAGAAGAACCGCUUCGUAAUUCGUUAGGGAAAAUAUCACGAAGAUUGCGAUCGCGAGUACGAAACCGACUGUCUUUCCAAAGUAUUGGGAACUUCUGUACGGUGCAAUUAACCGGACGCGUCUUUGGCACCUGUCCAACGCACAUUUUUGUUCUCCGUUUAAAAAGUUUGCAUCGAAUCAUGAACGAUGGCGCAAUUCUGUUUUCAAAGAAAUGGCAGGAAGCUCGCAUACAGCAAAACAUUCUGUUUCCUGCAGGAACGCGACAGGACGAAGAACCGAAAGAAGCAUGCGCGUUAAAAAGACAAGAGAAAAUAUUUUCAACAGACAGAACACACAAGCAACAAAGUGUAGACGCGGACACGAAGUUUCCUGGGCCAUGGCUACAUUGGAAAACCGAGCAGACAAAUUUGAAAAAAAGUUGCAAUGCAAAAACCAGCGGGUUAAGGAGAUGAUUGCAGAGUUCGUCGGGGACACGAUGAAAGGGAAUCGGUAGAAAAAUAACCGAAAAAGAGCAAGUACUAGAUAUCCUCGGCGAUCCGUCGAACCCGGAGUCGUUGCUCCUCGUGGAGUUCAUCCUCUUGUCAGGGUCGUCGUCGAGCUCCGUGCAGGUAGAUCUGCUGC